AGCUUGCUAGAUUGAUGGCGAGUGGCGAACGGGUGAGUAAUACAUCGGAACGUGCCCUGUAGUGGGGGAUAACUAGUCGAAAGAUUAGCUGAUACCGCAUACGACCUGAGGGUGAAAGUGGGGGACCGCAAGGCCUCAUGCUAUAGGAGCGGCCGAUGUCUGAUUAGCUAGUUGGUGGGGUAAAGGCCCACCAAGGCGACGAUCAGUAGCUGGUCUGAGAGGACGAUCAGCCACACUGGGACUGAGACACGGCCCAGACUCCUACGGGAGGCAGCAGUGGGGAAUUUUGGACAAUGGGGGCAACCCUGAUCCAGCAAUGCCGCGUGUGUGAAGAAGGCCUUCGGGUUGUAAAGCACUUUUGUCCGGAAAGAAAUCGCACUUACUAAUAUUAGGUGUGGAUGACGGUACCGGAAGAAUAAGGACCGGCUAACUACGUGCCAGCAGCCGCGGUAAUACGUACGGCCCAAGCGUUACUCGGAAUUACUGGGCGUAAAGCGUGCGCAGGCGGUUGUGCAAGACGAUGUGAAAUCCCCGGGCUUAACCUGGGAAUUGCAUUGGUGACUGCACGGCUAGAGUGUGUCAGAGGGGGGUAGAAUUCCACGUGUAGCAGUGAAAUGCGUAGAGAUGUGGAGGAAUACCGAUGGCGAAGGCAGACCCCUGGGAUAACACUGACGCUCAUGCACGAAAGCGUGGGGAGCAAACAGGAUUAGAUACCCUGGUAGUCCACGCCCUAAACGAUGUCAACUAGUUGUUGGGGAUUCAUUUCCUUAGUAACGUAGCUAACGCGUGAAGUUGACCGCCUGGGGAGUACGGUCGCAAGAUUAAAACUCAAAGGAAUUGACGGGGACCCGCACAAGCGGUGGAUGAUGUGGAUUAAUUCGAUGCAACGCGAAAAACCUUACCUACCCUUGACAUGCCACUAACGAAGCAGAGAUGCAUUAGGUGCUCGAAAGAGAAAGUGGACACAGGUGCUGCAUGGCUGUCGUCAGCUCGUGUCGUGAGAUGUUGGGUUAAGUCCCGCAACGAGCGCAACCCUUGUCUCUAGUUGCUACGAAAGGGCACUCUAGAGAGACUGCCGGUGACAAACCGGAGGAAGGUGGGGAUGACGUCAAGUCCUCAUGGCCCUUAUGGGUAGGGCUUCACACGUCAUACAAUGGUGCAUACAGAGGGUUGCCAAGCCGCGAGGUGGAGCUAAUCCCAGAAAAUGCAUCGUAGUCCGGAUCGUAGUCUGCAACUCGACUACGUGAAGCUGGAAUCGCUAGUAAUCGCGGAUCAGCAUGCCGCGGUGAUACGUUCCCGGGUCUUGUACACACCGCCCGUCACACCAUGGGAGUGGGUUUUGCCCAGAAGUAGUUAGCCUAACC
rnacentral:rRNA from 1 species